rnacentral:rRNA from 1 species
AUUGAACGCUGGCGGCAGGCCUAACACAUGCAAGUCGAACGAGUGGCGGACGGGUGAGUAAUGUCUGGGAAACUGCCUGAUGGAGGGGGAUAACUACUGGAAACGGUAGCUAAUACCGCAUACCAUCGGAUGUGCCCAGAUGGGAUUAGCUAGUAGGUGGGGUAACGGCUCACCUAGGCGACGAUCCCUAGCUGGUUUGAGAGGAUGACCGGCCACACUGGAACUGAGACACGGUCCAGACUCCUACGGGAGGCAGCAGUGGGGAAUAUUGCACAAUGGGCGAAACCCUGAUGCAGCCAUGCCGCGUGUAUGAAGAAGGCCGUCGGGUUGUAAAGUACUUUCAGCGGGGAAGCGUUAUCCGCAGAAGAAGCACCGGCUAACUCCGUGCCAGCAGCCGCGGUAAUAC